AGCGGCCUUGGUUAUGCCGA
rnacentral:siRNA from 1 species